ACUGUUUGUAAUCUUGUUUAAAUAAAUAAUCAACUCUACCAAGAGGAACAUAAAAUCAAAACUUUGUUUCGCAUUUUUCCUUCACUUUUGAGUACUUUCUUCUCUUAGUUAAAAAUGUACAAAAAUAUUAUAACUCAAAGCUAUGAUAAUCAACAUGGUGAAUGAAAAUGCAUAUAGUGGGAAAAGUUCUUUAGACCCACAUAAUU
rnacentral:lncRNA from 1 species